rnacentral:rRNA from 1 species
AUUGAACGCUGGCGGCGUGCUUAACACAUGCAAGUCGUGCGAGAAAAUCUCCUUCGGGAGAUGAGUAGAGCGGCGCACGGGUGAGUAACGCGUGGAUUAUCUACCCUGGAGAUCGGGAUAACAGUUGGAAACGACUGCUAAUACCGGAUACGAUUCUAUCUUUACUGAUUGGGUGAAAGGUGGCCUCUACAUGUAAGCUACCACUCUGGGAUGAGUCCGCGUCUCAUUAGUUUGUUGGUGGGGUAACGGCCUACCAAGACUACGAUGAGUAGCUGGUCUGAGAGGAUGAUCAGCCACACUGGAACUGAAACACGGUCCAGACUCCUACGGGAGGCAGCAGUGGGGAAUAUUGCGCAAUGGGGGAAACCCUGACGCAGCGACGCCGCGUGCGGGAUGAAGGUCUUCGGAUCGUAAACCGCUGUCAGGAGGGAAGAAACGCAUGGGUUCAAAUAGGGCUCGUGCCUGACGGUACCUCCAGAGGAAGCACCGGCUAACUCCGUG